rnacentral:rRNA from 1 species
AAUUCUAGAGCUAAUACUUGCGUUCACCCCGACUUCUCGGAAGGGGCAGCAUUUAUUAGAUACAAGCCAAUCGAGAGUUUACUCUCGUAAUAUGGUGAUUCAUAAUAACUAAGCGAAUCGCAUGGGUUUACCCGGCGAUAGACCCUUCAAGUUUCUGACCUAUCAGCUAUUGACGGUAGGGUAUUGGCCUACCGUGGCUAUGACGGGUAACGGAGAAUUAGGGUUCGAUUCCGGAGAGGGAGCCUGAGAAACGGCUACCACAUCUAAGGAUGGCAGCAGGCGCGCAAAUUACCCAAUCCUGACACAGGGAGGUAGUGACAAGAAAUAACAAUGCAGGGCUUCACAGUCUUGCAAUUGGAAUGAGUAGAUUUUAAAUCACUCUACGAGUAACAAUUGGAGGGCAAGUCUGGUGCCAGCAGCCGCGGUAAUUCCAGCUCCAAUAGCGUAUACUAAAGUUGUUGCAGUUAAAAAGCUCGUAGUUGAAUUUCUGGUUUCGGAGUGCGGUCUGCCCCGUGGGGUAAGUGUCAGCGCUCGGGAGCCAUCCUCGAGGAGAACAUGCCUGUGAUUGAGUUCAUGGGUAUGGGAGCCUCGUCUUUUACUGUGAGCAAACUAGAGUGUUCAAAGCAGGCUUACGCCGUUGAAUACAUUAGCAUGGAAUAAUAAAAUAGGACUCUGGUCUAUUUUGUUGGUUAGUACUCCAGGGUAAUGAUUAAUAGGGACAGUUGGGGGUAUUCGUAUUCAAUUGUCAGAGGUGAAAUUCUUGGAUCUAUGGAAGACGAACUACUGCGAAAGCAUUUA